rnacentral:tRNA from 1 species
UGCGGCCAUGCUGGAAUAGGUAUACAGGGAAGUCUCAAAAACUUCUGUCACAUGACAAUGUGGGUUCAAGUCCCACUGACCGUAU